GCCUGGGAUGGCUCAGGUGGUAGAGCAUGAGACUUUUGAUCUCAAGGUUGUGGGUUCGAGUCCCACGUUGGGCA